GAUGAACGCUAGCGGGAGGCUUAAUACAUGCAAGUUGAGCGGUAAGCUGUUUAUAGCAAUAUAGACGGCCUAGAGCGGCGCACGGGUGAGUAACGCGUACAUAACCUACCCUGUACAGGGGGAUAGCCUUGGGAAACUGAGAUUAAUACCCCAUAGUAUUAUUGUUCCGCAUGGGAUGAUAAUUAAAGAUGAGUCGGUAUGGGAUGGAUGUGCGUCUGAUUAGCCAGUUGGUGAGGUAACGGCUCACCAAAGCGAUGAUCAGUAGGGGGCGUGAGAGCGUGGACCCCCACACGGGUACUGAGACACGGACCCGACUCCUACGGGAGGCAGCAGUAAGGAAUAUUGGUCAAUGGAGGAAACUCUGAACCAGCCAUCCCGCGUGAAGGAUGAAGGGGCUCUGCCUUGUAAACUUCUUUUGUCUGGGACGAAAAAGCCCCGUUUACGGGGAACUGACGGUACCAGAAGAAUAAGCACCGGCUAACUCCGUGCCAGCAGCCGCCGUAACAC
rnacentral:rRNA from 1 species